UACGGAGGGUGCAAGCGUUAAUCGGAAUUACUGGGCGUAAAGCGCACGCAGGUGGCUGAGAAAGUCGAUUGUGAAAGCCCUGGGCUUAACCUGGGAAUUGCAGUCGAAACUACUCGGCUAGAGUAUGGGAGAGGGUAGUGGAAUUCCCGGUGUAGCGGUGAAAUGCGUAGAUAUCGGGAGGAACAUCAGUGGCGAAGGCGGCUACCUGGCCCAAUACUGACACUCAGGUGCGGACAGCGUGGGGAGCAAACAGG
rnacentral:rRNA from 1 species